UACGGAGGGUGCAAGCGUUAAUCGGAAUUACUGGGCGUAAAGCGCACGCAGGUGGCUGAGUCAGUCGAUUGUGAAAGCCCUGGGCUUAACCUGGGAAUUGCAGUCGAUACUACUCAGCUAGAGUAUGGGAGAGGGUAGUGGAAUUCCCGGUGUAGCGGUGAAAUGCGUAGAUAUCGGGAGGAAAAUCAGUGGCGAAGGCGGCUACCUGGCCCAAUACUGACACUCAGGUGCGACAGCGUGGGGAGCAAACAGG
rnacentral:rRNA from 1 species